GGUCGGCGAGAAGCUUUUCCGACAACUAGUUAGACCUAUUUAUUUUCUCCGGAAUCUGCCGCGCAACCACCUGACAGCACCGAAAUCACAAAACGUACCCGGCGUAGGAAAGUUUCGACAUCUUUGAGAGGACAACGACAGUGGACUCUUAGGGCAAUCAUUCAUCCAACUAAUUGGAAGCAGUAACUGUAUACCGACUGUUCCGGUCCUUCAACUAUGCGGUUGCAAUCGCUUCCGGUCCGAUCCAAGACCGAAAAAAUCGCCGAAACCAUUCAUCAAUUGUUCGGAUGGAACUGUCGGCCAAUAAACAUCGUCCAAUGAACCGGUUCAAGAACUCUUAUCGUGGAAAAUCGAUAAUCUAAUUGAUUAACAUGUACUUCAAG